CGUGCACCGAGGUGGGGAGUGCCCUCCCCUGUGCACACAGUGGGGAGUGAGGUGGCUGCACGCCAAGCGGGGAGUGGGGGAGCACGACGGGGGAGGAGGACCGCUGCCGCAAUGCGCGCUUUCCUGGGAGCCCAGAUGGAGAGGGGGCGCCGAGCGCGCGCGCCGCGGGCUGUGCUUGCGCGGCCCCGCCUGGGGCUAUAAAAGCCUCAUCACCUGCGGCCACUGAGCCUCCAGUGGUCGGGAGAAGCCAAUUCACCCGCUCCAGUGCCAUCUCCGCUCGACAUGGACCCUGAGACCUGCCCCUGUCCUACUGGAGGGUCCUGCACCUGCGCUGGCUCCGACUCCUGCAAGUGCGAGGGAUGCAAAUGCACCUCCUGCAAGAAAAGCUGCUGCUCCUGCUGCCCGCCUGAGUGCGAAAAAUGCACCAAGGAUUGUGUGUGCAAAGGCGGAGAGGGGCCUGAGGCCGAGGCUCAGAAGUGCAGCUGCUGCGAUUGAGAUGAG